rnacentral:misc_RNA from 1 species
UAAUUUAGACCCUCAAAUACGCAGAAACUUAAUAAAUUGAGCUCAUUUAGAAAGAAAGGCAAAUGAAUGCAAACAAACCAUGAGAAUCAAAAGCUUCAAAUCCAUUGCUGACCGUAAAAUUUCACAUGAAUUUACCCUAUGAAACAACCAGGAAAUACUUAAGUGUUUCCUUCUUUAAAAACCAAAAUCGGUUCUAGUCUUUUAUUGUUUGUUUUGUAUUAACUAAUUCUUUUAUUUAUUUAAAAAACUGAAUAAAUACAGGAACAAAAAAAUGAUUAAAUUGGCAUCUGAGGUUUGAUGUUUGUUUGAUGAAGAUAAAAUUCAACAAAGCCAAUCCCAAACCUUCAAAUUUUAUUUCAAAAAACCAGUCCCAAGCUUUCAAAAUUUACAUGUUCAUACAUUAUGACAAAAAAUAAAUAAA